rnacentral:rRNA from 1 species
AUUGAACGCUGGCGGCAUGCCUUACACAUGCAAGUCGAACGGCAGCACGGGAGCAAUCCUGGUGGCGAGUGGCGAACGGGUGAGUAAUAUAUCGGAACGUGCCCAGUCGUGGGGAUAACGUAGCGAAAGCUACGCUAAUACCGCAUACGAUCUAUGGAUGAAAGCGGGGGAUCGCAAGACCUCGCGCGAUUGGAGCGGCCGAUAUCAGAUUAGGUAGUUGGUGAGGUAAAGGCUCACCAAGCCGACGAUCUGUAGCUGGUCUGAGAGGACGACCAGCCACACUGGGACUGAGACACGGCCCAGACUCCUACGGGAGGCAGCAGUGGGGAAUUUUGGGACAAUGGGCGCAAGCCUGAUCCAGCAAUGCCGCGUGCAGGAUGAAGGCCUUCGGUUGUAACUGCUUUGUUACGGAACGAAACGGUAGAGCUCUAA